rnacentral:rRNA from 1 species
UACGAAGGGGGCUAGCGUUGCUCGGAAUCACUGGGCGUAAAGCGCACGUAGGCGGAUUCCUAAGUCGGUGGUGAAAUCCUGGAGCUCAACUCCAGAACUGCCUCCGAUACUGAGAGUCUUCGAGUCCGGGAGAGGUGAGUGGAACUGCGAGUGUAGAGGUGAAAUUCGUAGAUAUUCGCAAGAACACCAGUGGCGAAGGCGGCUCACUGGUCCGGUACUGACGCUGAGGUGCGAAAGCGUGGGGAGCGAACAGG